ACUCCUACGGGAGGCAGCAGUGGGGAAUAUUGCACAAUGGGCGAAAGCCUGAUGCAGCAACGCCGCGUGAACGAUGAAGGCCUUCGGUUGUAAGUUACUUUCUUUAGUAGAAGAAUCCAUGACGGUAUCUAAGGAAUAAGCCCCGGCUAACUACGUGCCAGCAGCCGCGGUAAUACGUAGGGGCGAAGCGUUAUCCGGAAUCACUGGCGUAAGGAGUGUAGGCGGUCAAGCAAGUCAGAGGUGAAAGGCAUCGGCUCAACCGGUGUAAGCCUUUGAAACUGUUUGACUUGAGUGCAGGAGAGGUAAGUGGAAUUCCUAGUGUAGCGGUGAAAUGCGUAGAUAUUAGGAGGAACACCAGUGGCGAAGGCGACUUACUGGACUGUAACUGACGCUGAGGCUCGAAAGCGU
rnacentral:rRNA from 1 species